rnacentral:tRNA from 1 species
GGGCAUUUGGUCUAGUGGUAUGAUUCUCGCUUUGGCUGCAAAGGUCCCAAGUUUGAUUCUUGGAAUGCCCC